GUAGGGUGCGAGCGUUGUCCGGAAUNACUGGGCGUAAAGAGCUCGUAGGUGGUUUGUCGCGUCGUCUGUGAAAUUCCGGGGCUUAACUCCGGGCGUGCAGGCGAUACGGGCAAACUUGAGUACUGUAGGGGAGACUGGAAUUCCUGGUGUAGCGGUGAAAUGCGCAGAUAUCAGGAGGGACACCGGUGGCGAAGGCGGGUCUCUGGGCAGUAACUGACGCUGAGGAGCGAAAGCAUGGGGAGCGAACAGGAUUAGAUACCCUGGUAGUCCAUGCCGUAAACGGUGGGCGCUAGGUGUGGGUUUCCUUCCACGGGAUCCGUGCCGUAGCUAACGCAUUAAGCGCCCCGCCUGGGGAGU
rnacentral:rRNA from 1 species